rnacentral:rRNA from 1 species
GUCCACGCCCUAAACGAUGUCAACUGGUUGUUGGGUCUUCACUGACUCAGUAACGAAGCUAACGCGUGAAGUUUACCGCCUGGGGAGUACGGCCGCAAGGUUGAAACUCAAAGGAAUUGACUGGGACCCGCACAAGCGGUGGAUGAUGUGGUUUAAUUCGAUGCAACGCGAAAACCUUACCCACCUUUGACAUGUACGGAAGUCGCUAGAGAUAGCUUCGUGCUCGAAAGAGAGCCGUAACACAGGUGCUGCAUGGCUGUCGU